AAUACGGGCACAGCGGCAGGUGCUCCCGGCCCCGCGCUCCGGGAGUUAAAAGGGAAGCCGGUGCAAGUCCGGCACGGUCCCGCCACUGUGACGGGGAGCCGUCCCCACGAUGCGCCACUGGCCGGAAGGCUGGGAAGGCGGGGGAAGGCGAUGAUCCGAAGUCAGGAGACCUGCCUGUCGCUGCAACGUCAC
rnacentral:ncRNA from 2 species